rnacentral:rRNA from 1 species
AGGUUAACCGAAUAGGGGAGCCGGAGGGAAACCGAGUCUUAAUUGGGCGUUAAGUUGCAGGGUAUAGACCCGAAACCCGGUGAUCUAGCCAUGGGCAGGUUGAAGGUUGGGUAACACUAACUGGAGGACCGAACCGACUAAUGUUGAAAAAUUAGCGGAUGAUCUGUGGCUGGGGGUGAAAGGCCAAUCAAACCGGGAGAUAGCUGGUUCUCCCCGAAAGCUAUUUAGGUAGCGCCUCGUGAAUUCAUCUCCGGGGGUAGAGCACUGUUUCGGCUAGGGGGCCAUCCCGGCUUACCAACCCGAUGCAAACUGCGAAUACCGGAGAAUGUUAUCACGGGAGACACACGGCGGGUGCUAACGUCCGUCGUGAAGAGGGAAACAACCCAGACCGCCAGCUAAGGUCCCAAAGUCAUGGUUAAGUGGGAAACGAUGUGGGAAGGCCCAGACAGCCAGGAUGUUGGCUUAGAAGCAGCCAUCAUUUAAAGAAAGCGUAAUAGCUCACUGGUCGAGUCGGCCUGCGCGGAAGAUGUAACGGGGCUAAACCAUGCACCGAAGCUGCGGCAGCGAACGUAUCACCCAAGACAACUUUACGGAGUUGACGAUUGACGGAGCGAAGCGACGUCAAAGCGUUCAUUAAAGUCGAGUUGGCUUAGGGAUACGUUCGUUGGGUAGGGGAGCGUUCUGUAAGCCUGUGAAGGUGUGUCGUGAGGCAUGCUGGAGGUAUCAGAAGUGCGAAUGCUGACAUAAGUAACGAUAAAGCGGGUGAAAAGCCCGCUCGCCGGAAGACCAAGGGUUCCUGUCCAACGUUAAUCGGGGCAGGGUGAGUCGACCCCUAAGGCGAGGCCGAAAGGCGUAGUCGAUGGGAAACGGGUUAAUAUUCCCGUACUUGGUGUUACUGCGAAGGGGGGACGGAGAAGGCUAUGUUGGCCGGGCGACGGUUGUCCCGGUUUAAGCGUGUAGGUGUGUGUUCCAGGUAAAUCCGGUUCACUUUAACACUGAGGCGUGACGACGAGGCACUACGGUGCUGAAGCAACAAAUGCCCUGCUUCCAGGAAAAGCCUCUAAGCAUCAGGUAACAUCAAAUCGUACCCCAAACCGACACAGGUGGUCAGGUAGAGAAUACCAAGGCGCUUGAGAGAACUCGGGUGAAGGAACUAGGCAAAAUGGUGCCGUAACUUCGGGAGAAGGCACGCUGACACGUAGGUGAAGUGAUUUACUCAUGGAGCUGAAGUCAGUCGAAGAUACCAGCUGGCUGCAACUGUUUAUUAAAAACACAGCACUGUGCAAACACGAAAGUGGACGUAUACGGUGUGACGCCUGCCCGGUGCCGGAAGGUUAAUUGAUGGGGUCAGCGCAAGCGAAGCUCCUGAUCGAAGCCCCGGUAAACGGCGGCCGUAACUAUAACGGUCCUAAGGUAGCGAAAUUCCUUGUCGGGUAAGUUCCGACCUGCACGAAUGGCGUAAUGAUGGCCAGGCUGUCUCCACCCGAGACUCAGUGAAAUUGAACUCGCUGUGAAGAUGCAGUGUACCCGCGGCAAGACGGAAAGACCCCGUGAACCUUUACUAUAGCUUGACACUGAACAUUGAGCCUUGAUGUGUAGGAUAGGUGGGAGGCUUUGAAGUGUGGACGCCAGUCUGCAUGGAGCCGACCUUGAAAUACCACCCUUUAAUGUUUGAUGUUCUAACGUGGACCCGUAAUCCGGGUUGCGGACAGUGUCUGGUGGGUAGUUUGACUGGGGCGGUCUCCUCCUAAAGAGUAACGGAGGAGCACGAAGGUUGGCUAAUCCUGGUCGGACAUCAGGAGGUUAGUGCAAUGGCAUAAGCCAGCUUGACUGCGAGCGUGACGGCGCGAGCAGGUGCGAAAGCAGGUCAUAGUGAUCCGGUGGUUCUGAAUGGAAGGGCCAUCGCUCAACGGAUAAAAGGUACUCCGGGGAUAACAGGCUGAUACCGCCCAAGAGUUCAUAUCGACGGCGGUGUUUGGCACCUCGAUGUCGGCUCAUCACAUCCUGGGGCUGAAGUAGGUCCCAAGGGUAUGGCUGUUCGCCAUUUAAAGUGGUACGCGAGCUGGGUUUAGAACGUCGUGAGACAGUUCGGUCCCUAUCUGCCGUGGGCGCUGGAGAACUGAGGGGGGCUGCUCCUAGUACGAGAGGACCGGAGUGGACGCAUCACUGGUGUUCGGGUUGUCAUGCCAAUGGCACUGCCCGGUAGCUAAAUGCGGAAGAGAUAAGUGCUGAAAGCAUCUAAGCACGAAACUUGCCCCGAGAUGAGUUCUCCCUGAGACUUAG